GGGACCCCCUCAGCCCCUCCCCGCAGAGGAUUCAUUCCCUGGCAGGGGCUCUUGUGUGAACCUGAGACUCAGGACACAACAUACCUGUGGUGAGUAAGGGGUCAGAGCUUCCUGGCCAGUCCCAGGCUGAAGAUGUCCAAGGGCAACAGGACCUUCACUUUACUCAGUGUCACAGGUAGUGACACAGGACUCUAUGAGAGUGGAACCCAGAACCCAGUGAAUGCCGACUGCAGCGACCCAGUUAGCCUGAAUGUC
rnacentral:lncRNA from 1 species